rnacentral:lncRNA from 1 species
GCCACUGUCCAGAUAACGUGCACACUAUAGAGUUCAUAUCAGUUUGCAUAUGCGUUCAAUUCAAGUGGACUGUAGCUAUUACACAAGCAUAUUGUAAGCAGUCACAACAGAUUCCCACACUACCACUGUCCUAGCUCUCAGUCUCCACACCCAGACAUCUGCAGUCAGUGAUCCCCUCUCAGUCUCCACACCAGACACCCCAGUCAGUGAUCCCCCUCUCAGUCUCCACACCAGACACCCACAGUCAGUGAUCCCCUCUCAGUCUCCACACCAGACACCCACAGUCAGUGAUCCCCUCUCAGUCUCCACACCAGACAUCUGCAGUCAGUGAUCCCCUCUCAGUCUCCACACCAGACAUCUGCAGUCAGUGAUCCCCCCUUCAGUCUCCACACCAACAUCUGCAGUCGUGAUCCCCUCAGUGUCCUACACAGACACCUACCAGGUGGUACAGUAUGAGAGGAACAUCCAGCAUGCACAUCAUCAUGGGCUGUACCAGGGCUCGGUGGAGGCUGAAGGACUUGGACCCCAUGCGGCCCCAGGACAGUCUUGGCUUGGGCUUGGGUGGCAGGGGCCCCUGCGGGGCUGUGGUCCUCCCGUUCUCAGAGCGAAACUGAACCAAAGGCUGAAGCUGACACCAGAGAUUCUCCUUAUGAGUCUUCUGCUGCACUUCCUUUAUCUAUUU